rnacentral:rRNA from 2 species
UGGGGAAUAUUGCACAAUGGAGGGAACUCUGAUGCAGCGACGCCGCGUGAACGUAGAAGGCUUUCGAGUCGUAAAGUUCUUUUAUAUGGGAAGAUAAUGACGGUACCAUAAGAAAAAGCCCCGGCUAACUACGUGCCAGCAGCCGCGGUAAUACGUAGGGGGCUAGCGUUGUCCGGAAUCACUGGGCGUAAAGGGUUCGCAGGCGGAAAUGCAAGUCAGGUGUAAAAGGCAGUAGCUUAACUACUGUAAGCAUUUGAAACUGCAUAUCUUGAGAAGAGUAGAGGUAAGUGGAAUUUUUAGUGUAGCGGUGAAAUGCGUAGAUAUUAAAAAGAAUACCGGUGGCGAAGGCGACUUACUGGGCUCAUUCUGACGCUGAGGAACGAAAGCGUGGGUAGCAAACAGG